GGUUUGGAGGUUUCGUGAUAGAUAUGUUGGCCUCGCGGUUUCGGAUUUCGACAAUAAAGUUGCUUCACCAUUAAGCGUUUUAGUUAGGAAGAAAACAAUAUCGGUCUGAUGGCUCUUGAUUUCGAACAUCUGAUAUCAAAACUGUCUCUGUCUGCCUUUAUUGUUGGAUACCCAUAUGAAAACAUGCAAAAGAACAGCAAAAAUGCAAGUGUCUAUAUCAUAUUGUAACUUCACCUUCUUGUUUAUUCGGUUUGAAAUUCACGA